rnacentral:rRNA from 1 species
GAUGAACGCUGGCGGCGUGCCUAAUACAUGCAAGUCGAGCGAACGGGCGAGAAGCUUGCUUCUCUGAUGUUAGCGGCGGACGGGUGAGUAACACGUGGAUAACCUACCUAUAAGACUGGGAUAACUUCGGGAAACCGGAGCUAAUACCGGAUGAUAUUUUGAACCGCAUGGUUCAAAAGUGAAAGACGGUCUUGCUGUCACUUAUAGAUGGAUCCGCGCUGCAUUAGCUAGUUGGUAAGGUAACGGCUUACCAAGGCAACGAUGCAUAGCCGACCUGAGAGGGUGAUAGGCCACACUGGAACUGAGACACGGUCCAGACUCAUACGGGAGGCAGCAGUAGGGAAUCUCCCGCACUGGGCGAAAGCCUGACGGAGCAACGCCGCGUGAGUGAUGAAGGUCUUCGGAUUGUAAAACUCGGUUAUUAGGGAAGAACAAAUGUGUAAGUAACUAUGCACGUCUUGACGGUACCUAAUCAGAAAGCCACGGCUAACUACGGG